rnacentral:tRNA from 1 species
CGGGGUGUGGCCUAGCGGCUAAGGCACCUGCUUCGGGUGCAGGAAAUCGGCGGUUCGAGUCCGCCCACCCCGA